CCCUUAGAUGUUCUGGGCCGCACGCGCGCUACACUGACGAAUGCAACGAGCUUAUAACCUUGGCCGAAAGGUCUGGGUAAUCUCCAAAUUUCGUCGUGAUGGGGAUAGAUUAUUGCAAUUAUUAAUCUUCAACGAGGAAUGCCUAGUAAGCGCCAGUCAUCAGCUUGCGUUGAUUACGUCCCUGCCCUUUGUACACACCGCCCGUCGCUCCUACCGAUUGAAUGGUCCGGUGAAGCGUUCGGACCGUGGCCUUUGGACGGUUCGCCGUCUGUUGGCUGCGGGAAGUUCGUUAAACCUUAUCAUUUAGAGGAAGGAGAAGUCGUANCA
rnacentral:rRNA from 1 species